GGUUCGACUCGAGCGCGGCGAGAGAACGUUGCGUCAGCAACGGCCCGCAGGGCGAGCCACGCAGUGGCGAGUCAUCCUCUAUCACCGACCA
rnacentral:sRNA from 1 species